rnacentral:rRNA from 1 species
GUAUACAGGUGCUGCAUGGCUGUCGUCAGCUCGUGCUGUGAAGUGUUGGGUUAAGUCCCGCAACGAGCGCAACCCUAUCAUCUGUUGCCAGCAUUUAAGGUGGGGACUCAGAUGAGACUGCCGGUGACAAACCGGAGGAAGGUGGGGACGACGUCAAGUCAUCAUGGCCCUUAUGUCCUGGGCUACACACGUGCUACAAUGGCCGGUACAGAGUGAAGCGAAACCGCGAGGUGAAGCAAAACGCAGAAAGCCGGUCUCAGUACGGAUUGGAGUCUGAAACUCGACUUCAUGAAGUUGGAAUCGCUAGUAAUCGCGCAUCAGCAUGGCGCGGUGAAUACGUUCCCGGGCCUU